UACGUAGGGACCAAGCGUUGUCCGGAUUUAUUGGGCGUAAAGAGCUCGUAGGCGGCCCUCCACGUCGGAUGUGAAAGCUCAGGGCUCAACCCUGAGAUGCCAUUCGAUACGGGAAGGCUAGAGGUAGGUAGGGGAAAGUGGAAUUCCUGGUGUAGCGGUGAAAUGCGUAGAGAUCAGGAAGAACACCGGUGGCGAAAGCGCUCUGCUGGACCUUAACUGACACUGAGGGACGAAAGCUAGGGGAGCGAAUGGG
rnacentral:rRNA from 1 species